UGCUUCAGUGGCGCACGGGUGAGUAACACGUGAAUUACAUGCCCUUCAGUGGGGAAUAGCUCAGGGAAACUUGGAUUAAUACCCCAUGGUAUCGCGAGAUUAAAGGUGGCCGCAAGGCUGUCGCUGAAGGAUUGGUUCGCGCCCUAUCAGCUUGUUGGUGAGGUAACGGCUCACCAAGGCUACGACGGGUACCUGGUCUGAGAGGACGAUCAGGCACACUGGAACUGAGACACGGUCCAGACACCUACGGGUGGCAGCAGUCGAGAAUAAUUCACAAUGGGGGCAACCCUGAUGGUGCAACGCCGCGUGGAGGAUGACGGUCUUCGGAUUGUAAACUCCUGUCAUCCGGGAGUAAGACCUGGCUGUGAAUAGCAGACAGGGUUGAUAGUACCGGAAGAGGAAGGGACGGCUAACUUCGUGCCAGCAGCCGCGGUAAUACGAAGGUCCCGAGCGUUGUUCCGGAAUCACUGGGCGUAAAGGGAGCGUAGGCGGCGUGGUAAGUCAGAUGCGAAAUCCCGGGGCUCAACCCCGGAACUGCAUCCGAUACUGCCCUGCUAGAGGAUUGGAGAGGUAGCUGGAAUUCUUGGUGUAGCAGUGAAAUGCGUGGAGAUCAAGAGGAACACUCGUGGCGAAAGCGAGCUACUGGACAAUAUCUGACGCUGAGGCUCGAAGGCCAGGGUAGCGAAAGGGAUUAGAUACCCCUGUAGUCCUGGCAGUAAACGGUGUGCGCUUGGUGUGAGGGGAAUCGACCCCCCUUGUGCCGGAGCUAACGCGUUAAGCGCACCGCCUGGGAAGUACGGUCGCAAGACUAAAACUCAAAGAAAUUGACGGGGACCCGCACAAGCGGUGGAGUAUGUGGCUUAAUUCGAUGCAACGCGAAGAACCUUACCUAGGCUUGACAUGCAUCUCUAAGCGCGUGAAAGCGCGUGACCCUUCGGGGGAUUUGCACAGGUGCUGCAUGGCCGUCGUCAGCUCGUGUCGUGAGAUGUUGGGUUAAGUCCCGCAACGAGCGCAACCCUUGUGAACAGUUGCCAGCACUUAAGGUGGGAACUCUGUUCAGACUGCCCA
rnacentral:rRNA from 1 species